UGUAUGGCGAGCACUAUAACUCGAUCAUGCCACAUUCCUGCCUUUGCGGAUCCUUUCCUUUUUGCUUUCGCAUUUUGACACCCCAGUGAUGGUGCGUAGACGCGAAAAGGCUGUUCUGGAAUGGCAGAGGGCGAAGGUCCAUCAACGACGGGACGUGGACAAUGACGAAGAUGACCGCGCGCCUCGAGCAUCGGCCAUGGAGAUAGGCCACAGUCAUCGCCGGUCGGGACUCGGGUAGAGGAACACUACCUCCUCUACAUUUGGUGACCCGUCGAACUACGAACACCGGUUCGGCCUUCUAUCAUCCCAAAUUUUUGCACCAGCUUCGAUGGCAUGCCGCCGAGCGUCGAACCCAGGAACGCCCUACUCUCGAGCAACGAUCAAACAAUCAACUGCAACAGCCUUUUCCGUACCGGUCUUGGUACUGUCAUUGCGCCUGCCCCGACUCUGCUUGCUAUCAGAUUCAACAGGCUUCAUAUCCGCUGGCACAUGUCUCGCUCUGAGCACAUUCCUGUACUUGGCAAGUUAAUGGCCAUAUUGCUACGCACAGGCGAGUUGACUGCAUUCCGAGCAUCGCAUUCACGGACACAUCUACCCCGCACAGCCAGUCACUGGGACCCUACGAGCUCUCGCAUCUCGGCCGCCCCACUCAUACACGAUCGCUCUCUCCCUCCGGUGUUUCUUCUUUCUCGACGAUCCUCUACAGAACUGCAUUUGUAUUUUUGUGAUGUCACUAAACUGUAGAAUCAACUA